rnacentral:rRNA from 1 species
CCUGAGAAACCCAAAAGAUCGAAUGGGGAGAUUCAUCGUCAGCGAUGCUGGUACGUGUGCGGUUCGUGAUGUCCGUUGCUUCGGUAACGUGGCACGCGCUCCGCAUGUUUUUCAUUGCCUGGCAUCGUCAACGUGCACUUCUCCCCUAGUAGGACGUCGCGACCCGUUGGGUGUCGGUCUACGGCCCGGGUGGGUGUCUGUCUCGUGUGCGCCUCGCGGCGUUACUGCGGGACAAACCCCCGGUUGCCCGACCGGCUGCCCGGCGGUACUCGCAAGGUAUCUGGCCGCAAAUAUUCGAACUGCGUCCGGCCCGUCGCAAGCGAGGCAAGUGUUUCCCGAAUGUACGGAUCUAACGCCGUCAUCGGGCCUGGCCAGCUGUUGGUUGACGGUGUCCUAGGACAGGCUGUAACAAUUAUGAUACCGGUCGGCGACGCUACUGCUUUGGGUACUUUCAGGACCCGUCUUGAAACACGGACCAAGGAGUCUAACAUGUGCGCGAGUCAUUGGGAACUAUAAAGCCUAAAGGCGCAAUGAAAGUGAAGGUCGGCCUCGCGCCGACCGAGGGAGGAUGGGCCGCGUUACGAUGCGGUCCCGCACUCCCGGGGCGUCUCGCUCUCAUCACGAGAAGAGGCGCACCCAGAGCGUACACGUUGGGACCCGAAAGAUGGU